GCUGAAAAUUACAUGGGAAGAUUGGAAAAUCGGUUUCUUGAGAGGGGCAAUCCCACAAAUCCCACUGUCCAUAUUGAAUUCUGUAAUUGCAGUGUGUAAACUAUCCACUGAUUUGUUCCCAGAUCACGAAUUGUCCGCGACAAAAGUUUCUGUUAGUGUUGGGGUGAUGAAUUUGGUUGGUUGCUGGUUUGGGGCCAUGCCUGUGUGCCAUGGAGCAGGUGGGCUGGCAGGGCAGUACAGGUUUGGUGCCAGGAGUGGUGCGUCAGUGGUUUUUCUGGGGAUAGGAAAGCUAGCGAUUGGAUUGGUGUUUGGAAACUCUUUUGUGAAGAUUUUGAGUCAAUUCCCAAUUGGAAUUCUUGGAGUGCUCUUGUUGUUUUCAGGGAUUGAGCUGGCUAUGGCAUCUAAAGAUAUGAACACAAAAGAACAAUCUUUUGUGAUGUUGGUUUGUGCUGCUGUUUCGUUAACUGGGUCUAGCGCUGCAUUGGGUUUUGGGUGUGGGAUUUUGCUUCAUCUGCUGCUAAAAUUGAGAAGCAUGGAGUGUUCUUGUUUUGGGUUUUCCAGGUGCAGCUCUAAAACUUCUGCUGAUGAGGAAUCUGCUCUCAUUCCUUCAGAUUAGAGAAUUUUCUGAAGCAUUCACCAUGAAAUGUCCUAUUU
rnacentral:misc_RNA from 1 species